rnacentral:lncRNA from 1 species
UCCAGCUCCCAAUGGGACAUCACCUCUUCUUGCUGCAGAGAGCAGCAGGGCGCAUAUUAAAGAUCGCAUAGAGGCUGUGUUAUAUGCAGAAUUUGGAGUUGUCUGCUUAAUAUUUUCUGCAACACUAGCUUAUUUCCCACCCCGACCUCCUCUUCCUCCCAGUGUUGCUGCAGCUAGCCAGCGGCUGAGUUAUCGGAGAAGCGUUUGUAGAUUAUUAAGCAAUUUUCGAUUUUUGAUGAUUGCUUUAGCAUAUGCCAUACCACUUGGUGUAUUUGCUGGCUGGUCUGGAGUUCUGGACUUAAUUUUAACACCAGCGCAUGUCAGCCAAGUAGAUGCUGGCUGGAUUGGAUUUUGGUCCAUAGUUGGAGGCUGUGUUGUUGGAAUAGCUAUGGCAAGGUUUGCAGAUUUUAUCAGGGGUAUGCUGAAACUAAUUCUUCUCCUCCUGUUUUCGGGAGCUACACUGUCAUCCACGUGGUUCACCCUGACCUGUUUGAACAGCAUCACACA